UGCGUAGGUGGCGGGGUAAGUCAGGUGUGAAAUCUCGGGGCUCAACCCUGAAACUGCACUUGAUACUGCCUUGCUCGAGUACUGGAGAGGAGAUUGGAAUUUACGGUGUAGCAGUGAAAUGCGUAGAUAUCGUAAGGAAGACCAGUGGCGAAGGCGAAUCUCUGGACAGUUACUGACACUGAGGCACGAAGGCCAGGGAGGCAAACG
rnacentral:rRNA from 1 species